GUGGGGAAUCUUCCGCAAUGGACGAAAGUCUGACGGAGCAACGCCGCGUGAGUGAAGAAGGUUUUCGGAUCGUAAAGCUCUUUCGUUAGGGACGAACGUGCUCUUUGUGAAUAAUGAGGAGUAAUGACGGUACCUAAAUAAGAAGCCACGGUUAACUACGUGCCAGCAGCCGCGGUAAUACGUAGGUGGCAAGCGUUGUCCGGAAUUAUUGGGCGUAAAGCGCGCGCAGGCGGGAUAUCAAGUCUGUCUUAAAAGUGCGAGGCUCAACCUCGUGAGGGGACAGAAACUGGUAUUCUUGAGUGUCGGAGAGGAAAGUGGAAUUCCAAGUGUAGCGGUGAAAUGCGUAGAGAUUUGGAAGAACACCAGUGGCGAAGGCGACUUUCUGGACGAUGUCUGACGCUGAGGCGCGAAAGCUAGGGGAGCGAACGGGAUUAGAAACCCCGGUAGUCC
rnacentral:rRNA from 1 species